rnacentral:rRNA from 1 species
UACGUAGGGGCUAGCGUUGUCCGGAAUCAUUGGGCGUAAAGAGCGUGUAGGCGGCCCGGUAAGUCCGCUGUAAAAGUCAAAGGCUCAACCUUUGAAUGUCAGUGGAUACUGCCGGGCUAGAGUCCGGAAGAGGCAAGUGGAAUUCCCGGUGAUGAGCGGUGAAAUGCGCAGAUAUCGGGAGGAACACCAAUGGCGAAGGCAGCUUGCUGGACGGUAC